AUGUACAUGCCUACAACGUUAAUGUAUAUAAUCCCAUCAGAACUCCAUAAUUAAAUGCGCUUGAGAUAGAGUAGUACUGUGAUGGGUGACCUCCCAGGAAAUACUAAUGUUUUACAUU
rnacentral:rRNA from 1 species